AAAAAAACGGAAAAGAGCUGGCUAUUUGUUUCGUCAGUAUAACAUGUAAACAUUUUUAUAUUGCAUGUCAUUUCUGUUUGCUAAAUUAAAUAUUUAAGUUGUGUGUUGUAACUACAGGGUUUGCUGGUGUUUUUGUGUAACCCUGAAGAUACCCUGGAUCCUGAAAUAUUCAGUAGAAAAGCCAUCCACAUUGAUCCUGGCAAAAGCAUCACUGCUUUGAGAAGAAGACCUGUUGACUUCACUUUCCCAAGUCUUUCUGUUGGUGGUGGGAAGAAGCUUACCUGCAUUACUGGUUCUCUUCCAGCCAGGUCUGGAUAUCAGACGUGUGAGAGUGAUUUGCCCCCUUUAUCAUUCCUGCUGAAAAAUCCAAAUCAGGAUCUGCUUCUUCUGCUAGUAGCUGGUUUCAGAUUGUCUUUGAUGGUCAAUGUGGAUGAAAAGCUGGUCACCCAGAUGAAAACUUAACCUGUACUGGUAAGCAAGUUGUUGAACUAUUUACAUGCAAACAGAUCCUGCUGGUUGAUCAGUUUGAGUUCAUCUUGUCUACACACAUGAUCAACUUGUCCAAGUUUGGUCAGCCAAAACCAGCUUAAACUGUUUUAAGAUGCUCUUUUUUC
rnacentral:lncRNA from 1 species